GCCGUGUCACACUGUACGGAAGAAUUCGGUGAAAAUUGUGCUCUUACGUCCUGUAGUUGAUCCGCAAUUCAACAGUGUGUGCGCCGGAAGGACCGUCGGUGCAGUCGAUGCCGCGGCACCUGUGACGCUAAAAGGAGCGUUUUCCGAGUACGCCUAGAAAGCUGGUAUAGGUAUGGCUGGACCUGGAGAAGUGUAAGCAGACCAUGCUAUGUUGCUGAUCUGCGCUGAUCUCCACAUCCAAGUUGGUCCCGCGACAGUUGGGCGCCAUUGUGCCUUGCUUCAUUGACAAGGUGAUAUAAUAUGGUGCCCUGCUCGCUCUCACCCAAGCAACCCACUCCAACGGUCUUCUCUCGGCAGACUGGAUGCAUAGAAAUACCGUUAGAAGGUCCAAUAAACAGUGC